CAUCCUGGCCAAAAAAGGUCUGCUAUUAAUAAUUUUUUCCACUUAUGUCCAUUACUUUGAGUUCUCUUUCAAAUCCUGUGAAUUUUCAUACAUUGAUGGGCAUGAUAGAAGCAUUAGUCCUCCCAGGAUAUUGAGCAGAAGUUUGAGUCCAAAAUCAAGAUUGAGAAAGAACCUGAGCAUGAGCUCUAAUAUGUACCUAAUGUUUUCAGCGGCCACCUGUUCCAUGCUGGAAGAUUGAAGUGGUAUGGAUAGAGAGAAAGCCAAGGAAUACAUAAUAAGCUGUCAGGUAAUUAAAUUAAUUAUCAGUAGUCUUUGCCUUUUUCCUUGGCUCUCUAGAGAAACAAUGUAACAAUAUACCUAAUUAUAUGCCAGAGUGUUUUAUUUAAUAUAAGUUGUUAUAUCUUCUCACAGUGACUCCUGUACUUGCAGUCAUAUAUGCUGGUGGAUUUGGGCUGGUUCCUGGUUCAGAAUCCCAUGUGUGCAGUUUUGAAAUAUUCUGGAGGCGGUGUGCGCUUAGCUGAUUUUCACGUCUCCUAGAGGACCAGGGGUGGCAAUGUAAAACUCGACUCAUAUCCAGAUCGCGGGAAUUUUAUUCACUUUUAAGAAGAAUCCGCAAGUAAAGGAGAUAAGAGCAGUGGUAGCAAUGACAACUGCCUAUUUUAUGUAACUUGGAAGAAGAAGAGGGCUAACAAGCAUGACAUACGCAUUGGUAGUGAUGAGCGAGGAGGAAAGGAUUAUUCCGAAAUAAAGAUGAUUGCUCCUGAGAUCAAGUGUGAAUACAGUGAUUGUUGCAGAUGGAAAAGCCUUGAUACCAAAAAAUGUUUGAGGUGUACAAUGAGGGAAUAAAUGACAUAUGAAGAAGCGCUAUAGUUUUAACAUUGUAGCCCCCCACUGGACACAUGAAACAUCUAAAACUAGACCACA